rnacentral:rRNA from 1 species
AUGAACGCUGGCGGCGUGCCUAAUACAUGCAAGUCGAGCGGACAGACGAGGAGCUUGCUCCUCUGACGUUAGCGGCGGGCGGGUGAGUAACACGUGGAUAACCUACCUAUAAGACUGGGAUAACUUCGGGAAACCGGAGCUAAUACCGGAUAAUAUAUUGAACCGCAUGGUUCAAUAGUGAAAGACGGUUUUGCUGUCACUUAUAGAUGGAUCCGCGCCGCAUUAGCUAGUUGGUAAGGUAACGGCUUACCAAGGCGACGAUGCGUAGCCGACCUGAGAGGGUGAUCGGCCACACUGGAACUGAGACACGGUCCAGACUCCUACGGGAGGCAGCAGUAGGGAAUCUUCCGCAAUGGGCGAAAGCCUGACGGAGCAACGCCGCGUGAGUGAUGAAGGUCUUCGGAUCGUAAAACUCUGUUAUUAGGGAAGAACAAAUGUGUAAGUAACUAUGCACGUCUUGACGGUACCUAAUCAGAAAGCCACGGCUAACUACGUG